AGAGCGAACGCUGGCGGCAGGCCUAAUACAUGCAAGUCGAACGGAUCCUUCGGGAUUAGUGGCGGACGGGUGAGUAACACGUGGGAACGUGCCCUUUGGUUCGGAACAACUCAGGGAAACUUGAGCUAAUACCGAAUGUGCCCUUCGGGGGAAAGAUUUAUCGCCAUUGGAGCGGCCCGCGUCUGAUUAGCUAGUUGGUGAGGUAAAGGCUCACCAAGGCGACGAUCAGUAGCUGGUCUGAGAGGAUGAUCAGCCACACUGGGACUGAGACACGGCCCAGACUCCUACGGGAGGCAGCAGUAGGGAAUCUUGCGCAAUGGGCGAAAGCCUGACGCAGCCAUGCCGCGUGAAUGAUGAAGGUCUUAGGAUUGUAAAAUUCUUUCAGCGGGGACGAUAAUGACGGUACCCGCAGAAGAACGCCCCGGCUAACUCGCGCCAGCAGCCGC
rnacentral:rRNA from 1 species